rnacentral:rRNA from 1 species
AGGAUGAACGCUGGCGGUCUGCUUAACACAUGCAAGUCGAACGGAGUACCUCGGUACUUAGUGGCGGACGGGUGAGUAUCGCGUAGGGAUUUAUCGUUGGGUGGGGGACAACCUUGGGAAACUGGGGCUAAUACCGCAUGACGCCUGAGGGCCAAAGCACUUGUGGCGCCUGACGAGAAGCCUGCGUCCGAUUAGGUAGUUGGUUGGGUAAUGGCUGACCAAGCCUGCGAUCGGUAGCUGGUCUGAGAGGAUGAUCAGCCACACUGGGACUGAGACACGGCCCAGACUCCUACGGGAGGCAGCAGUGGGGAAUUUUGGACAAUGGGCGCAAGCCUGAUCCAGCCAUGCCGCGUGCAGGAUGAAGGCCUUCGGGUUGUAAACUGCUUUUGUACGGAACGAAAAGGUUCUUUCUAAUAAAGAGGGCCCAUGACGGUACCGUAAGAAUAAGCACCGGCUAACUACGCGCCAGCAGCCGCGGUAA